UUGUCUUUUUUUCCAUUUGUUUCUUCCCUUCCUUCCUUGCCCUAUUUUCUCUGCGGAGGGGAUCGAAGAAAAAGAAACAGAGGAGGGAGAUAGAGAGAGCAAGGAAAAAAAAAACGUGAGUCUUGUCCAUUCCGAGCUCUGCUGCUUAAACUUGGUCUGAGUUGCACUUCAAUUUCUUGCCCGAUUCGGGAUAGUUGGCCUAAGCUCGAUACCUUGUUGUCAUAUUGAUAUACGGAGGAAUAGGUAAUGUACAUAUUUGAGGAAGUUGGGAGCUAGCUAACUAUGGGAGUUGGUGAGGUAGCUGAAGAAUAAUGAUUGUUAUUUAAUUUGUAUCAGCUAGAUAUGGUGAGUGAAUUCACUUAUAUAUAUUGUUGUUGUUAAGUUACUAAAGUUCUAGUAUUGCUAUUUUAGCUUAGAUAAGUUAUUAUAAAUUUUUAUAAAUCAUAUUGUGUAGACAAUGCUAGGAGAUUACGCUUUGCUGCCUUGAGUUUCACGAUGUCGGAUUUCUUAUAUAGAGUAUUAUCUGGUUGUUGCUA